rnacentral:misc_RNA from 1 species
GAUGACGGCCGCGGCAAAGCCUAGCAAGCAGCCGCGAACCGAGUCUUGCGUGGCGUCCGGUAACGGCCGUUGCGAAGCGUAGACAGGGAGGUUGUAGGCCGGAACGACAGUGAACGGGAACAUAGCCCCGAAAUCGAUCGUGAUCGGAGUAGCCGACCCUACACAAUCACUUUCCCUGCCAGACAAUUCCCGCCGGUGGACGCCUUUUGGUCGGUGACUA